rnacentral:rRNA from 1 species
UACGGAGGAUCCAAGCGUUAUCCGGAAUCAUUGGGUUUAAGGGGUCCGUAGGCGGUUUGGUAAGUCAGUGGUGAAAGCCCAUCGCUCAACGGUGGAACGGCCAUUGAUACUGCCAGACUUGAAUUAUUAGGAAGUAACUAGAAUAUGUAGUGUAGCGGUGAAAUGCUUAGAGAUUACAUGGAAUACCAAUUGCGAAGGCAGGUUACUACUAAUGGAUUGACGCUGAUGGACGAAAGCGUGGGUAGCGAACAGG